rnacentral:rRNA from 1 species
GUAGGGGGCGAGCGUUAUCCGGAUUCAUUGGGCGUAAAGCGCGCGUAGGCGGGUGCCUAAGCGGGACCUCUAACCUCGGGGCCCAACCCCGAGCCGGGUCCCGAACUGGGCGUCUCGAGUGCGGUAGGGGAGAUCGGAAUUCCCGGUGUAGCGGUGGAAUGCGCAGAUAUCGGGAAGAACACCGAUGGCGAAGGCAGAUCUCUGGGCCGCCACUGACGCUGAGGCGCGAAAGCUAGGGGAGCGAA